GGUACGUCAGGUCGGCGAGUGUGGGGAAAAGGUAGGGGGCAACGGUUUUCCGGAAUUAUUGGGGGGAGAGGGGAGGUAGGCUGCUUUUCACGUGGAUUGGGAAAGCCCGAGGCUUGACGUCGGGUCUGCAGUCGAUACGGGCUAGCUAGAGUGUGGUAGGGGAGAGCGGAAUUCCUGGUGUAGCGGUGAAAUGCGCAGAUAUCAGGAGGAACACCGGUGGCGAAGGCGGAUCUCUGGGCCAUUACUGACGCUGAGGAGCGAAAGCGUGGGGAGCGAACAGGAUUAGAUACCCGAGUAGUC
rnacentral:rRNA from 1 species